rnacentral:rRNA from 1 species
GACGAACGCUGGCGGCGUGCCUAAUACAUGCAAGUAGAACGCUGAAGGAGGAGCUUGCUUCUCUGGAUGAGUUGCGAACGGGUGAGUAACGCGUAGGUAACCUGCCUGGUAGCGGGGGAUAACUAUUGGAAACGAUAGCUAAUACCGCAUAAGAGUAGAUGUUGCAUGACAUUUGCUUAAAAGGUGCAAUUGCAUCACUACCAGAUGGACCUGCGUUGUAUUAGCUAGUUGGUGAGGUAACGGCUCACCAAGGCGACGAUACAUAGCCGACCUGAGAGGGUGAUCGGCCACACUGGGACUGAGACACGGCCCAGACUCCUACGGGAGGCAGCAGUAGGGAAUCUUCGGCAAUGGACGGAAGUCUGACCGAGCGACGCCGCGUGAGUGAAGAAGGUUUUCGGAUCGUAAAGCUCUGUUGUAAGAGAAGAACGAGUGUGAGAGUGGAAAGUUCACACUGUGACGGUAUCUUACCAGAAAGGGACGGCUAACUACGUG